rnacentral:rRNA from 1 species
GAUCAUGGCUCAGGAUGAACGCUGGCGGCGUGCCUAAUACAUGCAAGUAGAACGCUGAAGCUUGGUGCUUGCACCGAGCGGAUGAGUUGCGAACGGGUGAGUAACGCGUAGGUAACCUGCCUCUUAGCGGGGGAUAACUAUUGGAAACGAUAGCUAAUACCGCAUAAAAGUCGACAUCGCAUGAUGUUGACUUGAAAGGUGCAAUUGCAUCACUAAGAGAUGGG